rnacentral:rRNA from 1 species
UACAGAGGUCUCAAGCGUUGUUCGGAUUCAUUGGGCGUAAAGGGUGCGUAGGUGGCGGGGUAAGUCAGGUGUGAAAUCUCGGAGCUCAACUCCGAAACUGCACUUGAUACUGCCUUGCUUGAGUACUGGAGAGGAGAUUGGAAUUUACGGUGUAGCAGUGAAAUGCGUAGAUAUCGUAAGGAAGACCAGUGGCGAAAGCGGCUUCCUGGACCAGUACCGACGUUCAGGCACGAAAGCGUGGGGAGCAAACAGG